rnacentral:rRNA from 1 species
GACGGACGCUGGCGGCGUGCUUAACACAUGCAAGUCGAACGGAAAGGCCCUGCUUUUGUGGGGUGCUCGAGUGGCGAACGGGUGAGUAACACGUGAGUAACCUGCCCUUGACUUUGGGAUAACUUCAGGAAACUGGGGCUAAUACCGGAUAGGAGCUCCUGCUGCAUGGUGGGGGUUGGAAAGUUUCGGCGGUUGGGGAUGGACUCGCGGCUUAUCAGCUUGUUGGUGGGGUAGUGGCUUACCAAGGCUUUGACGGGUAGCCGGCCUGAGAGGGUGACCGGCCACAUUGGGACUGAGAUACGGCGCAGACUCCUACGGGAGGCAGCAGUGGGGAAUAUUGCACAAUGGGCGGAAGCCUGAUGCAGCAACGCCGCGUGCGGGAUGACGGCCUUCGGGUUGUAAACCGCUUUCGCCUGUGACGAAGCGUGAGUGACGGUAAUGGGUAAAGAAGCACCGGCUAACUACGUG